rnacentral:rRNA from 1 species
UACAGAGGGUGCGAGCGUUGUUCGGAAUUAUUGGGCGUAAAGGGCGCGUAGGCGGCGCCGCAAGUCACUUGUGAAAACUCUGGGCUCAACUCAGAGCCUGCAAGCGAAACUGUGGUGCUGGAGUAUGGGAGAGGUGCGUGGAAUUCCCGGUGUAGCGGUGAAAUUCGUAGAUAUUCGCAAGAACACCAGUGGCGAAGGCGGCUUACUGGUCCGGUUCUGACGCUGAGGCGCGGAAAGCGUGGGGAGCAAACAGG